AUUGAACGCUGGCGGCAGGCUUAACACAUGCAAGUCGAGCGGGGGAAGGUAGCUUGCUACUGGACCUAGCGGCGGACGGGUGAGUAAUGCUUAGGAAUCUGCCUAUUAGUGGGGGACAACAUCUCGAAAGGGAUGCUAAUACCGCAUACGUCCUACGGGAGAAAGCAGGGGAUCUUCGGACCUUGCGCUAAUAGAUGAGCCUAAGUCGGAUUAGCUAGUUGGUGGGGUAAAGGCCUACCAAGGCGACGAUCUGUAGCGGGUCUGAGAGGAUGAUCCGCCACACUGGGACUGAGACACGGCCCAGACUCCUACGGGAGGCAGCAGUGGGGAAUAUUGGACAAUGGGGGGAACCCUGAUCCAGCCAUGCCGCGUGUGUGAAGAAGGCCUUAUGGUUGUAAAGCACUUUAAGCGAGGAGGAGGCUACUUUAGUUAAUACCUAGAGAUAGUGGACGUUACUCGCAGAAUAAGCACCGGCUAACUCUGUGCCAGCAGCCGCGGUAAUACAGAGGGUGCGAGCGUUAAUCGGAUUUACUGGGCGUAAAGCGUGCGUAGGCGGCUUAUUAAGUCGGAUGUGAAAUCCCCGAGCUUAACUUGGGAAUUGCAUUCGAUACUGGUGAGCUAGAGUAUGGGAGAGGAUGGUAGAAUUCCAGGUGUAGCGGUGAAAUGCGUAGAGAUCUGGAGGAAUACC
rnacentral:rRNA from 1 species